AUUGAACGCUGGCGGCAGGCCUAACACAUGCAAGUCGGACGGUAGCACAGAGGAGCUUGCUCCUUGGGUGACGAGUGGCGGACGGGUGAGUAAUGUCUGGGGAUCUGCCCGAUAGAGGGGGAUAACCACUGGAAACGGUGGCUAAUACCGCAUAACGUCGCAAGACCAAAGAGGGGGACCUUCGGGCCUCUCACUAUCGGAUGAACCCAGAUGGGAUUAGCUAGUAGGCGGGGUAAUGGCCCACCUAGGCGACGAUCCCUAGCUGGUCUGAGAGGAUGACCAGCCACACUGGAACUGAGACACGGUCCAGACUCCUACGGGAGGCAGCAGUGGGGAAUAUUGCACAAUGGGCGCAAGCCUGAUGCAGCCAUGCCGCGUGUAUGAAGAAGGCCUUCGGGUUGUAAAGUACUUUCAGCGGGGAGGAAGGCGAUGGGGUUAAUAACCUUAUCG
rnacentral:rRNA from 1 species